UUCCCUGAGGGGUGCGCUUGAGAACACAGGCGCAUUUGGCUUUUCAUUAGGCUAAUCUAUGUGCACUUAUGUUCUGUCAUCCCUUUGGGAUUUGUUCUGUGUUUUUUAUAAUAUAGUAGUCGAACUAAUUUGCAUGCAUCUUGAUUAACCUCCUGAAUAUUUGUUAUUUCUAUUUGUACUUUUACUCGCUGAAAUUUUAACUCAGGUCUUUUAUAUCAGGGGAGGAGUUAGAAGCCCGAAUCCCGAAUGUGGAUUUUAACCGAUUUAGUAGCUUUUGCUCAAUCAAUAUAUUUGUGUUAAAAAAAUUCAUUAGAUAUGUAUAAAUAUUAAAUUUAAAAUUCGAGUUACUAGCACUUGAAGUCAUUGUGAACCCAAAAAAUUGAAAUUCAUUAUUUAUUUAAAUGAAUUGAAUUUAAUGGUUGUUUUCUGGGAAUUCCUCUGUAAUGCAAGUUUUGUUAUAUGCUUUACAAGAAGAACUCCAAUCAGAUGUCGUACAUGCGAGAGCAAGCUUCCGCAAGCCUUUCUUUUUUAAACUACUCCUAAUUGCUGAAGCCACAAGGUAUAUAUAUAUCAUGAUGUUAUGAGUCUUGGGGACGCUGAGAAAUUUAUUGACUGUUCUUUUGUUCAAGUAGUUGCUAUGGUAUACGGGUAAAAUCGGGCCUAAUGAGCAUCUCGAUUUUCCGGUGAGGCAAACAGAACAGGGGCAUGACUGUAAAGAAUCGGAAUCAGAGACAGGAGCCCCUCGUAUCAGAGCUCGAGCAAAACACCUGCCCUCGGAGAUAUCAAGACCACGUCCUCCGGGUCCGGUUCGAGUUUCAAGACUUCGGAGAGCAUUACCAAACCACCGCACACGGCUAACAAAGGGCCGUGAUAUCCGUGCCCAACCGGAUAUCACGGCGUGAAUCUCGACCCGUGUCGGCAGAAAAUCAGUGACUAGAAAAAAGGAAGAUUUUUACCUUUCUUAGACUUGUACUUAGGGUAAAACUCCCCUACUAUAUAAAGGGGAAACUAAUUAUUCAUUAGACACACUGUAACACGCAUACCAAGGCAAUA